GUCUACGGCCAUGCUACCCUGAACAAGCCCAAUCCCGUCUGAUCUCGGAAGCUAAGCAGAGUUGAGCCUGGUUAGUACUUGGAUGAGAGACCACCUUGGAAUACCGGGUGCUGUAGGCG
rnacentral:rRNA from 1 species